rnacentral:sRNA from 2 species
GAAAUGACUACUGCAGCAAAAAAGGGAGCCGGUCAUGGUCCUGUUGACUUGCCAAAAUUGAAGGGGUUGGAGGUGGGUGAUGAAGGCAGAAUAUACGGGAAGGAUGGAAAGGUUUUAGGACGGGUCGUUGAAGGAGACCCCAACGACCUUGUUGGGCAGGUGGUGGGGGGUGCUGGAGAAAUUUUCGAUGAGCAUGGACGCGCAGUUGGCAGGGUGGAGGUUUUGUCUAAGAUAACUCAGCAACAAGUGAAUGAGCCUGUUAGUAAAACAGCCCCUAUCGAUUUUGAUGCCCUCCAAGGCCUCGAAGUCAGUGAGGGAGGGAAGAUCAAAAGCUCCACUGGUGAGGUGAUAGCGAAAGUGGUAGAAGGACGCCCAGAUGACCUUGUCGGUUUCGCUCUCAAUGAACAAGGUGAAGUCAUUGAUGGAGAUGGCGAGGCGAUUGGUCGGGUAGAGAUUCUUCCCCAAGCAGGGAGGAAGGAUGACGGGAAUAUCAAAGAGAGUGGAACCGAGAAACAAGUAAAGGUCAAUGCCGAACAAGCCACUGAGAGCGUGGCUGAUGUCUCCGCGAAUGAUGCUGGCCCCGAAACUAAGUCACCUGGCGCCCCUGAUUUGUCCAAAUUGGCCGGCCUGAUAGUGAACAAGAAUGGAGAAGUGGCUGAUGGUGCUGGAAAUGUUCACGGGAAACUUGAGGAGGGAAGGUUAGAAGACAUUGUUGGUAAAACGGUCAACGAACGUGGUUUAGUGUUGGACAAUGAUGGUAAUAUUAUUGGCAAAGCAGCCGUUGUCGAAGAGACUGUGGAUAAAAGAGAGGACGAAGGAUCGAAUAUUCCCCCACUUUCGACACUGGAAGGGCUGAGAUGCAAUAAACAAGGAACGAUCGUGGAUAGGGAUGGGAACCCAGUGGGAAAAUUGGUUGAAGGCAAUGCUAGGGCCAUUUGGAAAUACGGCGCUCAAAUUGACGCGCAAGGCCAAUUCUCGGAUAAUAGGGGCCGGGUUAUUGGGAAAGCAAAAACAAUUGAGCAAAAAGAGGGGGGGGAGGAUGUACCAUUUGCCGGGUUUGAAAGUUUGUUUGUUAGUAAAGAUGGGUGGGUAGAAGACGAAAAUGGAAACAAAAUCGGCCAGAUUGUUCAGGGAGAUUCGAAAAAACUUUUGGGAAGGGCUGUCGACCCUGACGGCGAUAUCCUUGACAAAAGAGGUAAUGUCGUUGGGCACGCAGAGAAGUACGAAGAGAAACCAGGGCCAGAAAAGGAAGAGUUGUCAAUUCUAAAGGGGUUAUCACCAAAUAAACACGGAAACAUCAUGGGACCCGACGGAAUACCUAUUGGUAGGGUCAUCGAGGGAAAUCCUGAACAACUAGUUGGUAAAAAGGUUGAUGAGAAUGGCUGUAUAUGGAAUGAUUCUGGACAGCACAUUGGCCAAUGCGAAUUGAUACCGGAAGAAGAACGGGACAUAAAAGCGGAGUGUCCUUUUGCUGGCAUUGAUGUGUUGGUUGUUGUCAAUGACGGCUUGGUCGAAGAUGAAAACGGGAAUGUUGUUGGCAAAGUUAGUGAGGGCGACGUCAAAAAAUUACGUGGGAGAGCAGUAGACGAAGAUGGCGACAUCAUUGACAAACACGGGAAUGUUAAGGGGCAUGUCGAGCCUUACGGGGCGCUUGAAGAGGAAGUCGUGGGGGAAGAUCUGUCACUAUUAGCGGGCAAAGCAAUUAACAAAGCUGGUAAAAUCGUUGACGAAUCCGGAGUCACGAUUGGGCACGUUGUCUCAGGUGAUCCAAAGAAGCUUUCUGGAAGGACGGUGGAUGAUAAAGGCCAAAUAUGGGGUGACAGGGGCGAAGUUAUCGGGAAAGCAGAGCUUAUGCCGGAAGCAAAAGGGAACAAAGCCGAUGGGCCGUUCUCCGGAUUCCAGAGUCUUACAGUGGGUAAGGAUAAUGUCGUUCUAGACAGCUCAUGUCAGGUAGUCGGGCGCGUCGUCGAAGGCGACAUGGAAAAUCUUAUGGGUCGACCAGUAGAUAAGGAUGGUGGCAUCACCGAUAAAGCCGGACACACCCUCGGAAAAGCCGAACGCUUGGAGCCAAAAGAGAAAAAACUGGAAAUCAACCCAAUGUCUGGACGCAAGGUCAACAAAGAGGGAGAAGUGUGUGAUGCAGAUGGCAACCUGAUCGGAAAAUUGACAGCGGGAAAAUUGAACAACCUUGCUGGAAGGUCUAUUGACGACAGUGGAUAUGUGGUCGACAAUGACGGGAAUAAAAUUGGAGAAUGCACGCUGCUGGAACACAUACACGAAGAGAUUGAGGAGCCUGAGAUGUCUCCAGAACAGCUCGAAGCUGAGAAACAUGCAGAGCAGGAAAGGGGUCUCGCUAAGGAAAUGUGCUCCAUCGUGCAACAGACACUCGGUAAGGUCGGCGCUGUGUGUGAGAUGAUCAAGGAGCACACCGAGAGAGCGGACAGAACACCGAAGGCCGAACUUGACGAGGAGGAACUCGUGCGAAACGUCAAGCCACUCAUCGAAGAAGGCAGCAAUCACCUGCAAGAAUGCAACGGGGCUCUGCGGGCACUCGAUCCCGACGGGCAUAUAGCAGCCAAGGCGAAAUCGAAGUCCGCGCAGCCCGAAGCAUCGCACGAAGAACACCAGCUGGCGGAUCUCCUCAAGGAACUCACGUCCACCGUGGCCACGACUAUAGACAAUGCACGGAAGCGGAUUGCUGAUAUGCCCCACGCGAAGAAAAAGCUCAACCCGCUCUGGGCGCUGCUGAGCGAACCGUUGGUCUCCUCCUCACCGGCGUUCUUGGUUUGGUGGGCAGACUGCUCAAUGGGCUGGGUCUGGGUGGCUUGGUAAAUGGGCUCCUCGGUGGAUUGGGUAUCAAUAAGCUCCUUGAUGAGUUGGGCUUGGGGUCUGUCACAGACGCUCUGAACCUUGGAGGCGAUAAAAAGAAACAGCAAACUCCUUGAAAAUGGUGACAAUGAGCCUGGUUUUGUUUUGAUGCCUAUUCUGAGCCUUUUUAUCAUUCUCAUUUUCAUUUUGUGUGUUCGAUUAUAUUUACUUCAUUUGCUGUUGAUAAAAAAUUGUCAAGCUCGUUUCAAUGUCAAAAUUUAUAAACUGUAUUAGUAUCAGUUUGAUGUCAUAGC